rnacentral:misc_RNA from 1 species
GAUGAAGAACGUAGCGAAAUGCGAUACGUAGUGUGAAUUGCAGAAUUCAGUGAAUCAUCGAAUCUUUGAACGCACAUUGCACCUCUCGGUAUUCCGGGAGGUAUGCCUGUUCGAGCGUCAUUUGUACCCUCAAGCUCUGCUUGGUGUUGGGUGUUUGUUCCGCCUCUGUGUGUGAACUCGCCUCAAAACAAUUGGCAGCCGGCGUACUUGUUUCGGAGCGCAGCACAUUUUGCGAUCCAGAUCAACGUACAGCGGCAUCCAAGAAGCCUUAUUUAACGCUCUUGACCUCGGAUCAGGUAGGGAUACCCGCUGAACUUAAGCAUACAAUAGCGGAGGA